rnacentral:lncRNA from 1 species
UCUUGUUCGUGAAGUUGCUGGUUUCAGAAAUUCUUGUCAAUUUGGUCUAUUCCUGUUAGUAUUUUGCAAGUGGUGAUCAUAUCACCUCUUUUGCUUCUAUCUUCUAGUUUUGGCAUGUUUAAUGCGUCUAGUCUCAACUCAUAACCUAUUUUUCAGUUCCAGAAGCCAUUUUGUAGCAUGCCAUUGCACCAUUUCCAGUUUAUUUAUAUACUUCUUGAGAUUUGGGCACUAUACAAAUGCAGUGGUACACCUAGAGAGAGUUACCAUUCCUACCAAUUAGUAGUGCUAUCAAACCCCCAGAAACACAGAGAUGAAUUAGAAACAGUACACUCAGGUGCACUACUGCUGGACACCAAUGGCUACGCAAGAGACCCACAAUGUACCACCAGUGGAGCAUGAUUUUGUGAGCGUGUUAGUGUAGACUACCUAUCAACCAUGGCUAAAUGCCAUUUGAUCUGUGUACAAAGUCUUUGACAAUUUUAAACCAAUAUUUUGAGUUCUUUUUAGAUAAAAAGUUUAAUAUAACUGAACUCUCAUUUUAUCCCUUUACCUGUACCUUCAUUACAUUUUCUAAAUGUAAUUUUAACUUUCCAGGUGUUUUCUUUUAUUAUAUCUAUUACAAGAUGACAUGCAGAAGAGCUACUGACACAUGUAACUUCAAAUCAUUAUAUUCAUAAGAGGAAUAUUAGAUUUUAUGAAAUGUUAAAUAAAAUUUUGUUUAUCAGUUCUUGUUAUGGUGAUAGACUAGUAGCCAUUUAAAAAAUGCAUUUAAAUUGACAUAUUUUAGCAUUUAAUGUAUGUUACAUUUACAUUUGAGUAUCAAAUGCAUACAUGCAUCUCUCACUUGAGGCAGCAACACUUAUCAUUGUUAAUCUAGUUUGGAUGCAACAUGGGUCCCUGAGUCAGUCAUGUGACACCACCAGCAUCACCUCUGCUUCCUCUUUUCUUCCUUCUUUGUGUACAUUAUUAAGUACAGUGACAGAACACUUAAUCUGUCUUCGUUAUAGAAUAAUCCAUGUCUAUGAUGGAACCCUUCGUAACUAUCUCCAUUAAAGAACAAUUCAUUGAUGGCCUGUGAUAGAACCUUCCAUAUCAGAACUCUUCAGAACUCAUCUCAUUCAACUUCAAGAUGCUCAGAUCAGGAUAUUCAAAGGUAAGAUUAUUAUUUCCUUAUAUUUGUUAUAUAGGACAGCACAGUUUACAGUACAGUAUUUAUAUAGUAAAAUACUGUACUGUGAAGUUUUGAAUGUGCAUGUCGAGUUGUUUCAUUCAUGUUGUGGUGUGUAACCUUAUUAUACAGCAAAGUACUCUGAUUCAAUUCAUAAACUUACAUAAAGCAAGAUUUAUUAGUGCCACAGUGUUUAUGGCAUUAUUAUGAGUCAUAUACUGCUUAGGAGGUAUUGAGAGGGCUUCUAUUAAUGUUAUUGUGAGUGCUUCACUGAUCAGGGCAUUUUUUGGUUAUGUUGCUGGAGGAGAAAAACAGGUUUCAUGUGCUAUAGACAUUUCUUCCUUCAGGUGGAGUACAGUCAACUAAGGAAUUUCUAGUCACUGACACUAGCUGGCAAAUUAUAAUGUGGUUGUCAGUGCAGUUGGCUCACAACUCAGUGGUACUGUGGGAGAUUCCUGUAUAAGAUGAAAAAUGUUAACAUGUACAAGAUUCCUAUGUUACUUGGCAGUAAAUGGGCACACGAGUGUUAGGUAACUGAUGCAGGUUGCAUCCUGGAUGAGGUCCAGGAUGGUCUAGGUCAGGGGGUUCUUAACCUAUAUAAGAUUACAAAAACCCUGAUGUAAGUACAACGGGCUCACUGUAGCCCGUGCUGCUUGGAACUUUUUGUUCAAAGUACAGUACAGGUGUAUAUAGAAAUAAUAAUCUAUUAUCAUAGAUUAAUAGAUAAUAAAAAUAAUCUUAUCUCGAGUUCUGAGAUAAUAGUAAGCUGUAUGUAAAACAACCACCUGAUGGCCAUGUCACUCCCUCAAGGGAGGAUGUAAUGGUAUGAGGGUAUGCACCCAUACCUGCCCCCUCCCAGACUGUUGAAGUUACCACCAGUUCUGUUCUGCAGGAACAAAUACCUCUUUCACCUGAAGCUCUGAUUUUGCAAGUGAUUCCUCCACCUCCUCCUCUUUGGACUCAGCAGGACCUCUUGGUUCUUCAGGCAAAGAUGCCUCCUUGGGAGGUGGAGAUGCCGCCUUGGGAGGUGGAGAUGCCUCCUUGGGAGGUGGAGAUGCCGCCUCAAGAACCGAUGUCUCAGAAAUGACUGGGGCAAAAAGAACUUCCUUUCUAGCUGAAGAUGUAUCAGCAAGGGGCUCAUCAGGAAAGGGAUUUGUAAAGGCAAGUUUCUCAUCUGCAGCUUUUUCCAAAGUUUCCAUUGGCUCAGUUAAGGAAGUUUCUCUAGUUUCGGCAAGAUCAGGAUUACCAGCAUUGGCCGUCAUCAUUAGGGUACCUAAUACCUUCACACGCAGUGCUUCUAUGUUGAUCAUUAGCAAGUUUUCUUCCUCUAUAGAUGACUUUGUCCAAGCAAGAGGUAGGUGAGUUGCGACUGGCAUUCGAUCU